UACGAAGGGGGCUAGCGUUGCUCGGAAUACUGGGCGUAAAGCGUGCGCAGGCGGCUUUGCAAGACAGAUGUGAAAUCCCCGGGCUCAACCUGGGAACUGCAUUUGUGACUGCAUGGCUGGAGUGCGGCAGAGGGGGGAUGGAAUUCCGCGUGUAGCAGUGAAAUGCGUAGAUAUGCGGAGGAACACCGAUGGCGAAGGCAAUCCCCUGGGCCUGCACUGACGCUCAUGCACGAAAGCGUGGGGAGCAAACAGG
rnacentral:rRNA from 1 species